rnacentral:misc_RNA from 1 species
GAAACGCGAUAGGUAAUGUGAAUUGCAGAAUUCCGUGAAUCAUCGAAUCUUUGAACGCACCUUGCGCUCCAUGGUAUUCCGUGGAGCAUGCCUGUUUGAGUGCCGUGAAUUCUCUCUCCCCAAGCGGUUGCGAUUGCGCUGCUUGGCGGAUAGGUUGGAUAUGGGGGCUUGUGCAGAAUGUGUCAAAGCGGACUGCUCCCCUUAAAUGAAUUAGCGAGUUCUAACUGGGCUCCGUCUAUUGGUGUGAUAAUUAUCUACGCCAUGGAUUGGGCUUAGACUCGCUUCUAAUCGUCUGCAAGGACAAUCUUUUGACAAUUUGACCUCAAAUCAGGUAGGACUACCCGCUGAACUUAA